rnacentral:rRNA from 1 species
CCCAGACUCCUACGGGAGGCAGCAGUGGGGGAUAUUGCACAAUGGGGGGAACCCUGAUGCGGCGACGCCGCGUGGGUGAAGGAGCGUUUCGGCGCGUAAAGCCCUCUCGGCAGGGAAGAAGGAGGACGGUACCUGACUAAGAAGCCCCGGCUAACUACGUGCCAGCAGCCGCGGUAAUACGUAGGGGGCAAGCGUUAUCCGGAUUUACUGGGUGUAAAGGGGGCGCAGACGGCAGCGCAAGCCAGGAGUGAAAGCCCGGGGCCCAACCCCGGGACUGCUCUUGGAACUGCGCGGCUGGAGUGCAGGAGGGGCAGGCGGAAUUCCUGGUGUAGCGGUGAAAUGCGUAGAUAUCAGGAGGAACACCGGUGGCGAAGGCGGCCUGCUGGACUGCGACUGACGUUGAGGCCCGAAAGCGUGGGGAGCAAACAGGAUUAGAUACCCGCGUAGU